CAUCAAAGAAUCUCAGUUCAGAUCUUCACCAACCAUUUGAAAAGUUAGCCUCAUAGCAAUCGAUGACUACCUUUAGCUUUAUUUGAAUUUGGGUAAAACAAGUUAUCUUCAGUCAUGAAUCAUACACCUUCAUUUGAACACAGCUUAAACAUGACCACAUCAUGGUUUCAUUUUCAAAUAACACUAUUAUUAUAGCAAAUAGUUUCCUUGUAUCAUCUCCAUACCGUCAAUAUUCUCGUUACAUUUGAGAGUUUUCCAGUUUUGAAUUUUUUUUCAAGGAAGCUAUGUGUUGACAUGUGGUGCGUAAUGGUUGGGGUCCUUUUUUAUAUUAAAAAUUAGUAUAGCCGCCGGCUAUACUCAGUUUUGAAUUAUUUUUUUAAAAAGAAAGUGUUGACACGUGGCCCCUAUUGAUUGGGGGACAUUUUUUAGAUUUAAAAAUAGUAUCGCCGAACGGCUAUACUCAGAGGGGUUUUUUUAGAUUUAAAAAUAGUGUAGCCGGACGGCUAUACUCAGUUUUGAAUUUUUUUUAAGAAAGCUAUCUGUUGACACGUGGUGCGUAAUGGUUGGGGUCCUUUUUUAUAUUACAAAUUAGUAUAGCCGAGCGGCUAUACUCAGUUUUGAAUUAUUUUUUAAAAAGAAUGUGUUGACACGUGGCCCCUAUUGAUUGGGGGACAUUUUUUAGAUUUAAAAUAGUAUAGCCGCACGGCUAUACUCAGUUUUGAAUUUUUUUUCAAGGACGCUAUGUGUUGACACGUGGUGCGUAAUGGUUGGGGUCCUUUUUUAUAUUAAAAAUUAGUAUAGCCGACCGGCUAUACUCAGUUUUGAAUUAUUUUUUUUUUAAAAAAUGUGUUGACACGUGGCCUUUAUUGAUUGGGGGACAUUUU
rnacentral:lncRNA from 1 species